UUAAACGAAACCAAAAAGGAGGUUUAUCACUGUUAAUGAUACCAUUGAUUAAAAGUCCGUUUAAG
rnacentral:tRNA from 1 species